CACCUGUGCAUCUAUGACUCGAGGUUGUAAUGACUGAGAGUAACUUUUAUACACUCUUGUAUGUAAUGGAAUGUCUUUUUGUGCUAUAAUGUACAAUAUAAACAACUUUCAACAACGGAUCUCUUGGCUCUCGCAUCGAUGAAGAACGCAGCGAAAUGCGAUAAGUAAUGUGAAUUGCAGAAUUCAGUGAAUCAUCGAAUCUUUGAACGCACCUUGCACCCUUUGGUAUUCCGAAGGGUACGCCCGUUUGAGUGUCAUUGUAAUCUCACUUCUACAACUUUAUUGUUGUUUGAAUGUGGACUUGGAUGUUGCCGUUUUAUCACGGCUCGUCUUAAAUGCCUGAGUGUACCCUGUUUUGCAGCGUAUCCAGUGUAAUAAACAUUUCACUAGAGUUGGUCGAAAGACCGCGUUGACUAUAUGGGCUCUAUGCUUCAAACCGUCUGCCAUGUGGACAAUUUCUUGACAAUUUGACCUCAAAUCGGGUGGGACUACCCGCUGAACUUAAGCAUAUCAAUAAGCGGAGGAAAAGAAACUAACAAGGAUUCCCCUAGUAACGGCGAGUGAAGAGGGAAAAGCUCAAAUUUUAAAUCUGGUGUCUUUGACUCCCGAGUUGUAAUCUAGAGAAGUGUUUUCCGUGUCGGACCGUGUACAAGUUCCCUGGAACGGGGCGUCAUAGAGGGUGAGAAUCCCGUAUAUGCCACGGACUACCGAUGCUCUGUGAUACACUCUCAACGAGUCGAGUUGUUUGGGAAUGCAGCUCAAAAUGGGUGGUAAAUUCCAUCUAAAGCUAAAUAUUGGCGAGAGACCGAUAGCGAACAAGUACCGUGAGGGAAAGAUGAAAAGCACUUUGGAAAGAGAGUGAAACAGUACGUGAAAUUGUUGAAAGGGAAGCGUUUGAAGUCAGUCGCAUCUGUUGGGGUUCAGCCUGGCUUUUGCCUGGUGUAUUUCCUUUCCGAUGGGUCAGCAUCAGUUUUGACCGAGGGAAAAAGACAUUUGGAAUGUGGCUGUCUUCGGGCAGUGUUAUAGCCUUGUGUUGUAUGUCUCGGUUGGGACUGAGGAUUGCAGCGCGCCAUAAAUGGCCGGGGGUCGCUCCUCUCGACACGCGCUUAGGAUGCUGGCAUAAUGGCUUUAAGCGACCCGUCUUG
rnacentral:rRNA from 1 species